rnacentral:rRNA from 1 species
CAGCCUACGGGAGGCAGCAGUGAGGAAUAUUGGUCAAUGGGCGCGAGCCUGAACCAGCCAAGUAGCGUGAAGGAUGACUGCCCUACGGGUUGUAAACUUCUUUUAUAAAGGAAUAAAGUGAGGCACGUGUGCCUUUUUGUAUGUACUUUAUGAAUAAGGAUCGGCUAACUCCGUGUCAGCAGCCGCGGUAAUACGGAGGAUCAGAGCGUUAUCCGGCUUUAUUGGGUUUAAAGGGAGCGUAGAUGGGUUGUUAAGUCUGUUGUGAAAGCUUGCGGCUCAACCGUAAAAUUGCAAUUGUUACUGGA